CUCCCUAACGGAUACAGUUGUUUUAGUAAACAUCGAUCAAAGUUUAAAAGAAAGUCAGGUGGCAUAGUAAUUAUUUACAAAUCUGAACUUGAAAAAUUUCUUACAUUUCCAAAAACAAACUCAGAAUUUGUACAGUGGAUACAAUUUUCGAAAGAUCUUUUAAAUGACAAUGUACUAAUGGGCUGUGUCUAUAUACCACCAGAAGGAUCUAAAUACUCAUCGGUAGAUGCUUUUACUGAAAUUGAAAACGAAUUUCUUCAUUUGUCUGAACCUA
rnacentral:lncRNA from 1 species